UUUCUUUUUGUGUAUGCGGACACAUUUAACACGAUUAUGCUUUUUAUAGUGAAGCAUAUAAAAAAUGUCCUAUAUUUUAAGAAUUUGAUAUUAUCAGCACUACGUAUUACAAGAAUAAAUCUAGUAAUUAAAAAAACAAAACAAUAUUUCGUGCACAAUACUACACACUCUAAUAAGAAUUUUUUCAAAGAUAUUUUAACAGUGGGAUUUUUUUGUGUGGCCCUUCGUGAAUGAAAAAGAAGAAGCGAAAUUUGUGGAUAUAUUUUGGCUGUUGACCUUCAAUCAAGUCGUUCAGACUUGUUUUUAUUCUGUACAUCACGAGGGCAUCACAGGCCUCUGUAAAAAAAUAUCGAUCAAACGCUGUUUUCAGCUUUAGGCCUGUCCGUUAUUGCACAAUCGUCCAUAAAAAUUAUGCUUUGGACAACGUUAACCCUGGAAAUAUGAUUUUUCCUGAUUAUCGUCGUCCCAGGGAGUCGGAAAGCGUUCGCGCACGGCGACGACGUCGGUUUUCGAGGCGUCGAUGAGGAACGGAGGGUGAAAUGGGACCCGGUGGCUGGAGGCCAUAUGUUGGAAGCACAUGACGUCGGGCCGGGCGUUUUUUCCACCGAGCCCCCUUCCGGCCAGCUGCCGUCGACAGCCGCUUUUGUCUCUCCAGAAACCUUAGAAGGUGGAAAAAAGGAAGAAAACGGCGGACUAUCACGCGAGGUUCAAGGACGGCGAAGAAAUCCCGAGAACUUGUGGGCGAGAUGCCAAUGUAACUACAUCAUCUGCAAAAUCCAAAGCCUUAAUCUCGUUUACAGAAGAAACAAUUCCCUAAGUAAUUUCAAUUAACAUGCAAAUUCCAGAAUUAGACGUUGGUAUAUCCAAAUGGAAGUCAUUCGUCGAUAGAUUCGACUGAUAGCUACAAGCCGGUUAAAAUCGAAGAUGGUGUCGUUAAAACGACAAUAAUUUUAUUCGAUGAGAUUCCUGUUUUUUCACGUCCUCGACGACUUCAACAGCAGAAAUGGUAAAUGCAUCAUUGUGAGGUCUAAGAACUGGCACUGGGUCAUUAUUAGGUCAGUGAGCUCGUUCCUCAUUGAAGAUGGGGCUAAACCGAAAUUCAGUGAUAUCGAAACUCACAGAGACAGCCUGUGACCUCAAAAUGACUACAAUUAAACACGACUACAAUAAAAUUGACACGAUACAAACAUGACACCACAAGUAUAGCACGACACUUCACAUGAGUUUUUGUAAUUCACUGAAGAUGAAAAUGAAAAAAAGGUGUUUUUCCAAAAUACUUCAUUCCUGACCACUCCUCACUAUUUCAACAAAUUAUUGAACGUCGUUAAAGAGCACAUAAAAUAAAAUUGACAUUAAAAUAUACAGAAAACAACGACAGCUUAAAUGCACAUCUGAGCCAACCACACCAAUAAAAAUGAU